rnacentral:rRNA from 1 species
GAGUUUGAUCGUGGCUCAGAUUGAACGCUGGCGGCAUGCCUAACACAUGCAAGUCGAACGGUAACGCGGGGGCAACCCUGGCGACGAGUGGCGGACGGGUGAGUAAUACGUAGGAAUCUGCCCAUUAGUGGGGGACAACCCGGCGAAAGCCGGGCUAAUACCGCAUACGCUCUACGGAGGAAAACGGGGGAUCGUAAGAACCUCGUGCUAAUGGAUGAGCCUACGUCGGAUUAGCUAGUUGGUAGGGUAACGGCCUACCAAGGCGACGAUCCGUAGCUGGUCUGAGAGGACGAUCAGCCACACUGGGACUGAGACACGGCCCAGACUCCUACGGGAGGCAGCAGUGGGGAAUAUUGGACAAUGGGGGCAAACCCUGAUCCAGCAAGUGCCGCGUGUGUGAAGAAGGCCUGCGGGUUGU